GAGUUAGGAGAUCACAAAUUUUAAAAAUUGUGAUUCCAUCAGUCACGAUUUUGCCGAAGACCACAUUCAAAUCGGACGUCUCAUCAAUUAAUUAUCGAUUUUUAUCCAACUCGAGAAACUUUAACAAAACGCUUUACUGUUCCCUCGUCAAAUCAACACUGGAAUACGGAUCAGCAGUCUGUGUUGGGAGUGCGACAUCUGUCUCCCCAUCUAUGGGCGGCAAUAAGAGAGACACUUGACAAUAGGUUUGCAUAAUACAGUUCACUGUAAGAGUCCGUGCAAUACACAUCGCUGAAUCGUACGUUCGUUGUUUGCCACUGAUUACGCGUUAUACCGAAAGUUCCCCGGAUCGGUUCCCUUGUUCCGUCGUCGGUAUAGAUUCCGCUGCACGACCAGUCCGUCGUGGUCCACCUCGCUCUACAGUCUGGAGUCCUAACUACAACAACGUCGCUGAGCAAAUCGAAUCAAUUCAACGUCGGACGAGGACACUUCGCCUGCCGAGUUACGAGAGGCGGUGUCAGUUGAUUUACUUGCAACCCCUGUGUAUACGAAGUUGCAGUUUACAGAGCCUUGACCAUGAUCGAUACUCUGCAAGGACGAAAAAUUGUGAUCAGGCUUAGAAAGCGUCAGCGUCAACACGGGUCGUCGCGCGAAUUUUACAGAAGUGCCUCUCUCAAUGUCAUCGAAUCGGGAGACAAUGGCCAAGAGAGUCUAACAAUAUUUGCUCAUUUUUCGGUCACGACGGAGCGUGACAUGGUUGUAAACAAGGCAAUUACUACAACAUUCAUGAAUUAUGUCGUUGUUUAAAUCCAUUAAAGCAUGAAUGAAUGUCCUCUCUAUCUGUUAAAUACAACGGCUAGCCUAAAUUUGCUUGGACCAGGUGAAAAUUUUAAUUUAAAAACAAUAUGAAAAUUUUCGUCAUGACGCUUGAUCAUUGCAAAAUGACAUGACGAAGUGCGUGAAUGCUCGUUUUGUCUUGUGACGAUGAAAGAGUCUACUUGUUCAUCGUCAAAGGAAGCUCACGACCCUCACGACCAAUAACAGCGCUGAUUGUGAUUCUAUACUACAAUACAUUAAAUGAACAUCAAUGUUCAACCACGGCUGCUGCGGAACAGCUCGAUGCUGAGGCUUCCACUCCGUCGUAACGAUUAAGGGAUAAGAAGUGUUAUAUGUACUAGCAUUACAGAUACCACACGGUUAAAAAUGUGUGGCAUCAAUCUUUGACUUUCACAUGACGAGGAACGAACUGUCAACAAAUAUCAAUUUUAGCGUUACGUAAUAAAUGGAUGCUGCCUAAAUGUCUUGGUAUGAUUUAUUUUGUCUACCUAUUCUUCUUUUGAAGAAUAUAAGACAUGUUAUUUAGUUUUAAGUCUUUAAUGACAUUUGGGCUACAGAUAGUCUGUUGACGUAAACACAAAUAAAUAAAUCGACGUUGCCGCGCUGGGGUUCAUUAUAGGAUUAUGAACAUUUUUGUUUUUCAAAUCGUUUAUUAAAGGCUCACUUGCCGUACACAGCUUAAUUAUUAACAAAUAUCUAUGCCCCUAUAGUAGACCUCCCCUUUUAUUUCCAUGUUAUAUUCAUAUAAUUCCUCGCUGUCGACGGUGCAGUGCCUGAAUGUGCCUAUAAUGGACCCUUUAGAGCGUUUACAUUGAUUAAAUAGUUAAAAUAACUGAUUUUUGUGGCCACUGGACAAUCCGUUUUCCAACAACUUCUGUGCAGCAAUGUAAUUGAUAUUUCCCCGGUGAAAGUUGCCCGGAAUCAGUUGAUUUGUGUACAGUCAGGUUUUUUUUUACGCGGGGGAUACGUACCGCGUAAAAAUAAAACUCAGUUCAAAAUUCGAAAAACCGCGUAAAAAAAGUCUCACCGUUUCUCGACGAAUCAUGCAAAAAUAAGUCGAUGAAAAAAAAAUUUUGUAUGGAGUUUUCAUUUACGCGGCCGCGUAAAUGAAAACCGCGUAAAAAAGACCUGACUGUAUUAACCCUCUCUUUCCCAUGGUAGCACAGGUGAUCCACUACUUUGCACUGUUCAUACAAAUACAGCAUAAAUUAGAUCAUUUCCAUUUUUUCAUCAGAUGUUUGUAUAUGUUAAAUGAACUAUUAUGCCAAGUUUGGUCAAAAUUUCUCUGCUAGUUUUUGUUCUAGAGCUAAAUGAUUCAGUGAAAGUCGGUAUUUUUUUCUAUUUUAAUUCAAACAAUAUUUGAAUGUUCAAUAUUCCGAAAACUGAACAUUAUUUUAAACGGAAAAAAUACUAGCAUGCCAUGUAGUAUGUAUAUUAGCAGAAUAAAAUACCGUUUUAUAAACAAGUUGACGAUAAAACACUAAUUUAAUGAACAAACAUGUGGAUCAUCAGUGAUCCAUUGGGAACAUAACGACAUUUUUAUCCUUCCUGAUCUAACCUGUUCCUGGUUAAAAUGUUUGUUUACAUCCAAGACAUUUGCCAUUAUUAACAGUGUUUCAUGUAAAAAUGUCAUUAUUCCAUAUAAUGUAAUCUAUUUAGCGCCGGCAAUAAGUCGCAGAUGAAUCUAGGAGGGUUUAUAUGGUACGAGAAGAGAAUUCAUAGAUUCGAAGCGAACCGAAUAACAACUACUUAUGGUAACUGCAAGAAGUCCGAGAUUUAUAAAUAUAAAGUUUUUGAAAAAAAAAAUAAUAUACAAAUAAAAAACAAAAUUUGUAUAUGUGCCUUCAGUGCAUCCAUCUUCCCAAUGGAUCACAGGUGAUCCACCCCGAAAAUCAUUUUUCUCAUUUCUAACGAUAUUUUGGAGUAAAACUAUACAUCUUUUGUUCUGGUGAUUUGUUUAGAAACCUAUUAAUCUAUUUUUAAUUGUCAAAACACCUUGUGGGAAAGAAAGGGUUAAGGCGAAACUGGAAUUAUUUCCUCAUUUUUUUCAGUUUCUGAUUUUUUAAAAAAUAACGAAGCAAUAUUUUUAAAAACGUACACAUGUAGAGUAUGUGUAUCUUUUACACGAAAAAUCGCAAAAAUCCCCUUACGUAAUAAAUGGAUAGCACCAUAUAGGCUUAUUCAGAUGACCCCCAUUUGUAGAGGCGCUUGGAGAGAUAAGGAGAAAAUCGUUUGUUUACAUAAAAAAAGUCAAUUUUUUGUCGUCAAAUUUUACUCAUUUUUUGCUCUCCAUUUGCAAUGGCAUCUAAUAUCAUCAUUCUCGAUGCCCAUGCCGACGGACACCGGAUUGGCCAGCUAACAAAAAAUUCUGAAGAUUGCCCGCCGGAGGCAUAGCAAGAGCUCCUCAAAUUAAUCACAUAAAUUGUUUGUAAGUACCUAAGGGAUCUAAGCGCAUCUGAAAGAGAAUUAAAUUUUCUUUCCAAAAAGUGCUCGUUUGUUUCUCUACGAUGCGGAAUUCGAUAUGAAAAAUUGAAUAAAGUUCACUUUGCCUAUGCUGCACCAUGGCAAAUUUUGGCGGAUUCACGUUUUUCAUAGGGUUCUUAUCCCUGCCACCAGAUGCGGAGGGAUCGUUAGCUUCCGUUAGAUUUGCCUAUUGAUAUCACAUUUAGAUAUCAGUUUAUCUUAAGAUAUUUGAUUUCGUAUUGCUGUUAUCUUAAAUAUUUAGUUUUUUUAGUAUUUUUUUAAACAUUUAGCAAACCAUGUAUAAUAACUUUUAAGAUACCGGGCGCUUCCUUCAAAGAGCGAAAGUUUACUGGUAGCAUUGAACGUGUCCGUGUCUUUUUUUUUUGUAAGAGGGCCAAAAUGUUUUAAGGUGUCCAAAACAGUAAAAACUAAUGCUCCAGAAAUCAGGUAUUUUCUUCAAAUUUUCAGCCACUGUGAUUAAAUAGUAGAUGCUUUUAACACUUAUGUGGCCGGCAAGGUACCCGGGUACCUUUUUCAAUUUCAAAUCUCGAUAUUUUUAUGGUUAUUGAGACUAGGAUGUUGGAACUCUGUUAGAUCUUAGAACUCGUGAAUAUACAUCUAUUAAUGGGGUUGACCGAAUUUUAAAGUGAGGAGGGGCAGGGGGAGAGGCUCCUGCAUUUUUUUAUUACGUGGAAGGCCGGCAGGGUACACGGGUACCCACGAAAUUGAAAUGAUCAUGUCUCCGUCAAUUUUUCAUCGAUUUUGGAAAUUUUUUAGCUCAUUCAACUCAGAAACUCAUCAUCUAUCGGAAAAAUAUUUGGUUAGACCGAUCUAAUCACCGUGGUUUUCAGAAAAUCCAUAUUUUUGGGAGCAUGUCCUUAUACCAUAUUGAAACCCACAUUGUUGAGGCUAGGAUAUCUUAAAGUGUUUAUGGUCAACCAUGGCCCCACGGAAAGCGUGUUCCGAAAACACAGUUUCAAAGUCAACACGUUUUAUGAUUCCAGGCCGGUCAGAUACAAUAUGCCAAAGCAAUUAUACGAUGCUUGGUACCGAAAUUGCUACUAACCUACCGAAAAUCCCGUAUAUUGUAUUGUAUAAAAACCUGGAUUCGGAAAUCCGGAUUUUUCAGUACCUAUGGUGAUUGGACCGGUCCAACCAAAUACGAUCUCGAUAGAUAAUGAGUUUCUGAGUUGAAUAAGGCAAAAACUUUUAAAAUCGGUGGAAAAAUAGCUGAGAUAUGAUUAUUUCCAUUUCGUGGGUACCCGGGUACCCUGCCGGCCUUUUACCGGGUGUUUUUUUUUUGCUGGCCACACUACGGUUAAGAUCAUACUAACAUGAUCAUUAUGUGUAACGCCCUUUGAACCUGUUUGAUUUAGACUUAAAUUUAAAAUUAUGUCCUCUAGGGGUCCAAAAUGCGACCGUUACCCUAUGACAUAAGGAACUGUUCUGGACAAGAUGUCUUUGUGUCCGUCAGAUGUUGAAAAAAAUACAACCUGUGACCCCGGUGAAGUCAGCAGACAUACUUCUUCUCCAUGAUUCUAUUACCUCAUGCUACCUUCCAUACCUCAGAAUGUUCAUUUCUCGGAGAGAUCGGUCCCACCAUGAACUAUUAAACGAUUUUAUUAUGCUCGCCGUAAUCACCAAUUGAUUUGGUGGUGGUGACUAGCGUCCGGAUACAUCAUACACUGCGCUCUCCCCCGUUAUUUCAACUGAAUAAGCAGCGUGGUAUGGUUCAUGUGUUUGUAUUAUGAAGAACGUGCAGCCACGGACGGUAUAAUACGGUAUAGUAUCAGUCGCCGCAUGUAUAUACUUGGCGAUGACAUCAUCACCUUUUCGCUCAAAUUUAUGUGUGCAUCCGUCCGCCGUCGAAACAGAGAGCCGACGACAUCACGUCGCAUGUAAAUGCAAAGGCUUAGAUGAAAGUGUUCGACCCACCAAUCAAUGCAAGUGAAGAUUUGGAAUUUCUGUCAAACAAGAUUCUGGUGGUGUUUUAUCAGUGGUUCUUAACAUUUUUCUUUAGUCGUUGAGCGUUAGGUUAAACGACGACACCUUACGCAUAAAAUCCAACCCAAUUUGUGAAACACGAUCUAAUGAUUUCUCCUUGGGCCUAAUUAUACUGUUUGUGAGUGUUGUUUUUUUUCUCAAGUGGCAACAUUCCAAAACUUGUAUUUAUCUGUCCUCUUGUUUUCUUUUGAACUAAUCUUCAGAAUGAAAAAAAAAAGAUCAAGUCUCGGACUAGCGUGAUCUCUCAAGUUAGAAUAAAUUUAUCUAAUAAACAUAAACACCACAGUACAUGACGAAUUCGUCAAAACAGAUAUUCUCCCAAGGAAGCAAACACAAAUUUAGUAUUAAUUAAUAUUGUUAUAGCAUUUUCCGCUAUUCGUCCUUAUUAAAAUGUAGCAAAGUAAUUAGGAAGGUUUUUUUUAUUAGAUAAUCACAUUACUAAACUGGGCGGAGAUUAUAAAAAAGUUCAAACGGCAGGAAGCAGACCUCAAUAUUUACGUAGAUUGUAUAAAAAAUAUUGUCCAAAAACAAUUGUUACCUACUCACUCUCCGUUAAUAAUGACUGUGACACUUGCUUCGAUUUAAUCAAUGGUAUUUUUUUGCUUUUAAUACGUGCGAUAACAGUAGCGCAAGCAAAUAAAGAUGAUAACUUCAAAAUGUAAAAUUUCGUCUAUGCGAAGCGACAUACUCACGAGGGGUGGCAGAUGUAGAUAAUAUAGGACACUACCGAACAUGAGGAAAUUGGUGUGUAAGCUACCGAAUCCAUGGUUAAAUUAUUAUCAAUCCAGUCAUCCAGUCGAAGCCCGGAAUUUGGUACAACCGAAAUUCGAUUUUUCUCCAAAUCCAUGCAUCGGGCCUAAAUUCGGAAAUGGUGCGGCGUGUAUUAGAUCAUCAUGUCCGCUAAACAGCGCAUGACUUCCGACGUUAGGCAGCAUACAUUUAUUUAGUAUUUUCAUUUCAUUUUCAGUUUAACAUAAAUUUCAUAAUAACACUGAAUCAACAAUUGAGUUUUUAAAUUAAAAAAAGUUGAUUUUUUUUGGUUUUAUACGAAAGAGCACCUUUUUCUGAGUCACUAUGAUUUUUUUCAGAUUUUUAGAACUCUGUUUUGCUACCUUAAAUCAAUUUCAAAGAUAUUUUUUGAAAUCACCUUUUUACAGCUGGGAAACUGUUUGACAGCUCCGCCCAGUACAAACUGCGACGAGGGGUGAUUCGACAAAUCGCUCCCAUACAAACUUCAAAUUGAUUUUUAAAUAAGUUCCCGGACUCCAAAAUUCAUGAAAAUUUGGAUUUCGGCUUAGCUUGACAUGCAGAUUCAGAAUAUCGUAUUAUCUUAACACCGUUAAAGAAACCAAUUGGGUUUUUAAAUUUUGAAAAAUGUAUUGAUUUUUUAGUUUUAUAUGAAAGAUCACAUUUUUCGUCGUAGAUUGUGUAUAUUUGAAGACAAAUCGUUUAUGUUUUUUUGUCAAAAUCACACUCAACUUGACCCUCGAGCAGUAGUCGCGUUAUCGACCACCUUCAGCGACACCACGCUCAAGCUGUGCACCACGAGCGUGCAUUUUUGAAGGUCUGUGUACUUAGGGUCUGUCCCAAUUGGCGAAUUAAAAUUAAUUUUUACUUGCAUUUGACAGUUCGACACUUAAACAUGACAGUUCUCCCACAGACAAACAGACGUAACACUUGUGAAAUUUCCAUCGACCACGCUUUUGACGAUCAUUUUAAAUUUCCAUAGUUGUGGCUUUCACAACCAGAGGAGCGCGCAUCGUUUUUCUAUGCGUUUGACGUUUCACACUAGCGCCUUCUGUUGACGAUAUGGCACAACACAGUGAUUCGUGCAACUUUUCCACCAGGUGAUGGUAGUGUGAGCUGGGCGAUGGAUUUCCAUGAAAAUCGUUCAAGGUGUUACGUCUGUUUGUCUGUGGUUCUCCUAAGGAAAUGAUUAUCGAACUGUCAAAUUUAAGUGAAAAUUAAUUUUAAUUCUCCAAUGAAUUAACUACAUCGGCUGUUUUCCUACUCUCCGCAUCGACCAAUGUGGCGCUAG